CACCAUUUUUUUUUAUCAGUGAAGCACAACCAUGAUAACUACGCAGUGUGAGUCGAGGGAGUAGGGAGGAUCAUGUGGACAGGUUAGUGGACGCACGCCUGGCUGGAACCUGGAAUGUGGGCACAGGUGUGCUUCACAGAGCUAUCCAUCUAGGUGCAGCAGAUGCCCUGUGUACAAACACUAGGGUCAGAUGCUGGGACAUCUGGACUCCUGUCCAGAGAGAGGGAAGGGGCAGAACUAUAUUAACUAUACAGUAUGUACUUAUCAAAAGAUACCUAUAAAGGCUACUCAAUCCUAUGAUACACAGAUUACAGUGCAU